GACGAACGCUGGCGGCGUGCUUAACACAUGCAAGUCGAGCGGUAAGGCCCUUUCGGGGGUACACGAGCGGCGAACGGGUGAGUAACACGUGGGGUGACCUGCCCUCAGCUCUGGGAGUAACGCCUGGGAAACCGGGGUCUAAUACUGGAUAUGACUCCAUGACGCAUGUUGGUGGGGUGGAAAGCCUUGUGCGGCUGAGGAUGGGCCCGCGGCCUAUCAGCUUGGUUGGNGGGGUGAGGCCUACCAAGGCGACGACGGGUAGCCGGCCUGAGAGGGCGACCGGCCACACUGGGACUGAGACACGGGCCCAGA
rnacentral:rRNA from 1 species